GAGACUGCGGGGUUCGGGCGCGGCGGGCCGGGGCCGCCGGCCUCCCCCGGGCCGCGGUUGCGGGCCGUCGGCAGGAUCCCUGCGCUCCGUGCGACUGCGCCUGGCCUUGUAGACUUGCUUCCGACCUAGGUUCCGUAGCCAGAAAGACUGUUCCUGUAAAGGUGCCCUCACUCACUCUCGGGGCUCGAGGCAGCGGACGCUGGUGGUUUUCUCAUUCCAAGAAGGAAGGACUGCCUGGGCGCACUGCCCCGCAGUCGGUGAAUAUGGGUCUCUGCUGCUGAUUUUUUGUACCGCAGAUGGAUGCCUGUUGUUAUAAAUGAUAGAAAACGCGAACAAAGCUGAUGGUAAAGUCACAGCCUUUUUGGAGUAGUGCUGAAAUACUCUUCUGAAACCUGGUGCCUGGGGCAAUGUGAUGCUGGGGUUUUUUAUUACUGUGGGAGAGAGCAGUGUGGUAAAGUUUGAUUCUGUGCUAAUGUAUCUCUUCCUUGAGUGCAGUGUGCAAGCAGCCCUAAACAGAGAAAUGCACUGCAUUGAUAGAUGCCUUUGAUGUGAUUAAGACAUUCCCGGUAAAUGAUUCACCAGAUGGCACAUCAAAGGAAGCUGCUCAAAUAGCAUUUCAGUGCUUCAGAUAAUCUCUGAAGUGUGUGGGCUACCGGCCGGGCUGCAACUUCUUGCUCAGCUUCUUUGUCCAGUGUCACCUUGACUGGCUGCGGCUGCCCAGUUUGUCGUGAUGUGGUACAGAAGCACGAGGAGGGACAUCCAGGGGGGAUAGCUUUGAACCAUGCUCACCUCAGGUCCUGGGGUUCCUGACUGUUUCUUUGUUGGAGGAGAACUUCAGCAGGACCAGACGUACAGCUGUGACCCUGCUUUGGCACCCAUUUUCUUAGCUGCUAUUCCUUGUUCCAUUAUCUUCUCUGUUGUCUCCAUCCUGCACUACUUCUCCAGGUCAAUACUGAUGCUGGGGGAGAUGCAGAUGGAAGUGAGGUAUGCUCAGCCUGGUGGGCUGCUGCCUGGGGAUCCAUCCACAUCUGGCAACACUGACCAUAAUGUGAGCCUUUGUGGUCCUGGGAAUAGCAAACAUGGAUGGCUGUGAGGAAGCCAGGUCAGCUGCAGGCUGAACUAUGUGGCCUAGAUCAGUUACAUCCGAAGUACUCAGUAAUUCUCCAUCCAAGAUUUCUCUAACUUGUACUGAAGAUGUUUGUUUUGCUGGAUUAGGAUUCUAUUCAUCAUUUCCUGGGUAAUCCCAUCUGGAUGUGCAGUUCAGUUGUUUUUUCAGUAGUCACUGAGGAGCAGUCUCACCUUGUGUGUGUUCUGCAGUGGAGAACGUACAUCAUCCAUUACAUGUCUGAGCUUCACCCCCUGUGAUUUAAAUCUGGAGUGGGUAGAGCCCAAUGCUGUCGCUCACACAAAGCCCAAAUGUACACAGCCAUAAUGUAUGACUCACCUCUGAAAUUUUGCCAGGUGCUGGGGAGGCAUUAUCCUAUUUAUUUGUAUGCAUCUCUUUCUUUCAAGAUCUCUUUUAAACACUUUGCAGUAAGACUUCCAGAAGGGUAAAUGUUAUUUAAGUGAAGUCAGCAUGUCCCAGCCUGCCUGCUGCAGUGUGGAAAAUGUUCACAAUAUUCAGCUUUUUCAGGCAGUGAUCUGUACUUGCCAUGCCUCGUCCGAUAGCUGCUGAUUUUGCGUGGAAACUGAUAAGCAGACCUCUUCCUGCGUAAAUCAUACUUCAGAAGAGAAGUAAAUUUUGUUUGGUGGACAAUUCCGCUUUACUGAAGGUGGCUGAGAGAAACCAGUUUGCUUUGCAAUAACUACGCAUGUUGUUUAUCUUCCAAUUUUUUCCCAUCCUAGACAAGGAGAAUAGAGCUGGAUCCACUACGAACAGCUUCGCUGCAUUCAUCAGCCUCUGCUCUCCCUUGUUUGCUCACUGGUUGGUUUUGAAGAGGAGUGUCGGAGAGGUUAGUCUCUGCUCAUUGUGCCCACUCUCCCUGCUCUGGUCAUUUACUGUGUGCUCCAGCCAGACUGCAGGAGGCAUGAAUCUGUACUGAGUUUCUGUUGUGGACAUUUUAUUGAGCGAUGUGUAGGUAUGUAAAGAUACAUAGACACAAAUGCACGUGCUUUACUGCUGCAUACAGAUGAGAAUUUGGGUUGUGCUCU
rnacentral:lncRNA from 1 species